GACACUUAAAGAGCAAAAAGCUUUAUACAAGUCUAUCAGUAAAAUGUUCCUCGAUUUGUUAGUCUUUAUAAUCCUGAAAAGGUCCCUUUUUCCAUCAUACUAUUGUCACUAAGAAAUAUAAAAAAAAAUUACCUCUUCAUUCUGACAGAUGCAGAAAUUGUCAUUACAUAUAAAUUCCAUAAAAUUUAUCUCCAUUCCUAAGCUAGUGAGAUCAAUAAAGUUGUUUUAUGAGUUACUAUGGUAACAAAUGGAAGCCAUGCAGUCAGAUUUAACACACAAAAAUAUCAAAUUUCACAUUUUUAUUUUUCUUACUGAAAUUCCAUGUUGUGUGAGAAUAUGUAAAUGAAAUGAGUUACAAAAAUGGAUCAAUUACUAAUAAAAAAAAACUUAAAUCAUGAUAUAAAUUUAUACCAAUCAAUAGCAUGCUUGAUGGAUAUGUAAGCUGAAAAUCUAUUGGUUCAGCAUCCAUAAAGCAACAUCAAUUCUACCUGAGCAGGUAAACAGACAGGUGGAAUUACAGGUGAGACAAUCUCAUCUAUCAAGUCUCCUGACCAAAAAUGCUUAGGAAUCAGGAAAAUGGUUAGAAAAUGAGAGAAAAAUUGUUAUGGAAAAUCAGAAACAUGUUUUCCAAAUGAAAUUUACAUUUUUGAUGGAUUUUGACAGAUCAAAGAGAAAAUGAAUUCUCUCAAGGAGUUCAGACACAAAAUCUCACAACUAAAAGAAAGUUUACAUAGAUGCUAAGGGGUAAGAUGGCGUCUCUACCAACUCAUCACUAAAAAGAAUGCUGGGAGAUAGAGAGAGGAUUUCAUUGGUUAGCUGACCAGAUCAUCCCGGCUACCAUGUGAUAGUUCACACAGCUGUGCAUCAUAUCCAUGGAUACCACACACAGUUUCCUUGGCAACAUGUACUUGUUAUUUAAAAUAGUGACAUGGAGGGCUUUAAUUACAUCCCUGCCAGCUAUGCACAAAUUACAAUUGGACAUGUCAAAAUCUAAAGGAAGAACAUUUGAUAUUUGCCCAUUGGCCCUGUUAUCUAGAUUAAAGAUAGAUACAAGCAAUUAUACAACAUAUCUAAACAUUUAUAAUCAUCAUAUCAUUAUAGUCACAAAUACUUCAUUUACAUUAGGGGGAUGUAAUAAACUCCACAGGAAGUCUAUACAAAGGAUUAAUUUUACUGUGUGUAAAAAUCACAACAAAAUUCUUAAAAUCACUAUUUUCACAAAAACAGCAUUUAAACAAAAAUCAAGAUAGAUUUUUUAAAGAAAUAAGAGAAAAGUUUAAACUUACAUUUACAAAUUCAUCUUAACCAGAAUCACUGAGGCAUUUCAGGGACAUUUAAAUGAGAGUAUUGAUUAGACAACAGCUGUAGAAAAUUCCACAUGUCCUUGGAUGUAGAUGUAUGUUUCAGAGCAACACCUACAACACAACUGGCUGCAAUUGAUUAUAACAGGACCACUUGUUGAUUGUGACCAGACUACACAUAAGAUAAUGACCUGGAGAUGACAAUACACACACAUAUAUAUACUUAAAUCUAUUUAUCUAUGUCACUGAUAAUAUACAAUUAUGACAUGUACACUCUACUUUUUUCCCCUUUUCCUUAUUUACAUGUUAAAAACAUUUAUGCAUUGUGUUACAUGUUUAGGGAAUAACAUUUUUAUUGAUUCAAUAUUUUUCUAUGAAAUAUUAUUAAAAAAACAUUUUGAUACUAAAUUUAAUAAAAUUAAAAACACAUUCUUGUUUGUAUUGUUCUGUUAAUAAAUUGAGAAAACAAUUUCUAACAAUAGUAAACACAUGAAAGUACAUUGUAUUUAGAUUUAAGCCAAUGGCAAUGACCUUAUUCUAGUAUAUGUCUGAAGAUAAUUUAAUAUAGCCUGAUUUUGUUUUACUAGAGGCUCAAAGGAGCCUGAAUAGCUCACCUGGGACUCUAAUAGAGACCAAAUUUUAUUUGAUGCACAUAUUUAUGUUAGUUUUCAAGAUAAUGGCCUAAAAUGCAAAAAAAAAAGAGAACUCAUAUGAAGAAUUGAUUAAUGAUUUUGAACAUGUUUGACCUUUAUCUUGUCUUGCUGGUCAUCUUUAUGAUUAACAUUUCUGUUUGUCUAAUAUGGAAUUGGGACCCAACUAUUUCCCCCAUUACUUCAAUGCAAUUUUAUCAAAAUUGAGGGGCAAAUUUUUUAUUCCCUAUCUUAGACUGCAAAAUUUCAAUUACUUUCUCAUACUUGUAUCCCCCUUCAUGGUUUCUUGGGGGAAUUCUUGAAAGGUCAUGACCGGCAUUUAAGAGAGCAAUACUGUUUUGAGUAUUCUUGGGUCAUUUUAUAAUUCCUGGUUAAAAAUGAAAAUAAAAUUUGGACCAUUUACUCAGACAAUCAUCCACCCUAUACAUUUCAGAAUCACUUAAAAUUUAACAGAAGUUGAAAGUUUAAUGAAUACCCUUUAGAUAUACUACAAAU